rfam:Pteropus vampyrus cont1.243924, whole genome shotgun sequence.
GGCUAGCACCCCUCAAGGCAAAUAGGCUUCUGCACUGUAGAAUAAUCUUACCAUUUUAAUAGGUGCUGCUCUACCCUUCAGUCAUUCCACAGAUCAUGGCUUUCUGGCUUUUCCUCUUUUAGAGUGUCUGCUUCUCACAAUCACAAUACUAGCUUCCCUGUUUUAGGCAAA